rnacentral:lncRNA from 1 species
UGUUUGCCCAGCGGGUGAGCAGUAAGCUUUGUGCUUAUUCCUGGCUCCUGGAGAUCUGCCUCCAGGGAAACGCCUUCAGGGUCACAGUGAAAUCUCUGUGGCAGCUAAUAAAGAAACCCGUCUGCCUCUGGAACCCUGACCUGGGGAGGUGCAGGCUGGACUCCUCCUCCUCUCUGUCGCCAGACGAAGCAGAAAGCCAUGAUGCAGAGGUCAAGAAGCUGAGCCAAUCCCAGCGGCAUCUGGAGACUGGAGCCCAGGGAAGCUGCAACAGUGAGCUCAGCCUUAGCCGAGGAGCUGCAUGGCCUAGAGAGGAGCCUGGUGUGACCGCUGGACACGGGCUUACGAUUGCUGCGAUAAAAAAACUACCGGGAUUAGGGCAGUGCCAAACCAAUCACUUAUGCACAGUGGUUUAGGAAACACGCCCUUAAUCCUAGCAUCACACAUUCCAGAUUUAGCUACGUUAGACUGCAAGAGGCUUUGGGGGGGGGCACACGACACGGACAUCCAGACACAGCCACAAG